GCAAACUUAGCUGAGAAGAAUUAGCGCUUGCCUGAAGAGCUUGAGAGGGUGGAUCGUUACCAUCAGUUUGCA
rnacentral:tRNA from 1 species